GUAGUCCUUGCCGUAAACGAUGUAUACUUGAUGUAGUUAGGCUCAACCCUGGCUGUGUCGUAGCUAACGCGAUAAGUAUACCGCCUGAGGAGUACGCUCGCAAGGGUGAAACUCAAAAGAAUUGACGGGGGCCCGCACAAGCAGUGGAGCAUGUGGUUUAAUUCGAUGCAACGCGAAGAACCUUACCCAGGCUCGAAAUGCAAAGGACAGCAUCAGAGAUGAUGUGUUCCGAAAGGACCUUUGUAUAGGUGCUGCAUGGCUGUCGUCAGCUCGUGCCGUGAGGUGUUGGGUUAAGUCCCGCAACGAGCGCAACCCUUAUCAUUAGUUGCCAACACGUAAAGGUGGGGACUCUAAUGAGACUGCCUAGGUUAACUAGGA
rnacentral:rRNA from 1 species